GACGAACGCUGGCGGCAUGCUUAACACAUGCAAGUCGAACGAGCUGAUUCCUUCGGGAUGAAAGCGAGUGCCGACGGGUAGUAAUGUAUGAGUAACCUGCCUCUGUCUACGGGAUAACAUUUGGAAACAAGUGCUAAUACGGUAUAAGACCACAGCACCGCAUGGUGCAGGGGUAAAAGAUUUAUCGGACAGAGAUGGACUCAUAUCCCAUUAGCUAGUUGGUGAGAUAAUAGCCCACCAAGGCGACGAUGGGUAGCCGAGCUGAGAGGCUGAUCGGCCACAUUGGAACUGAAACACGGUCCAGACUCCUACGGGAGGCAGCAGUGGGGAAUAUUGGGCAAUGGAGGAAACUCUGACCCAGCAAUGCCGCGUGAGCGAUGAAGGUCAUCGAUUGUAAAGCUCUUUUCCUGGGAACGAAACAAAUGACGGUACCCAGGGAAUAAGCCCGGCUA
rnacentral:rRNA from 1 species